rnacentral:misc_RNA from 1 species
GUGAAUCAUCAAAUUUUUGAACGCAAAUUGCACUCUCUUCGGAGAGUAUGCCUGUUUGAGGGUCAGUAUUAAUAAAAAUCGGUGUGUUGCUUCUUUGUGACGCUCCGGAGUUUGGGUCAUCUUAUUAUCCUUUGGGUUUUAAGGGGCUUAAAAUUGCCUUUUUUUGCGCUUUUUAGAUGUACUUAAUUUCCUUUUUUUUUUCCUCUGUUUAAGUGCAAAAUC